rnacentral:rRNA from 1 species
UGGGGAAUAUUGGACAAUGGGGGCAACCCUGAUCCAGCAAUGCCGCGUGUGUGAAGAAGGCCUUCGGGUUGUAAAGCACUUUAGGUUGGGAAGAAGGUUAGGAGUUUAAGAGGCACCUAAUUUGACGGUACCGACAGAAUAAGCACCGGCUAACUCUGUGCCAGCAGCCGCGGUAAUACAGAGGGUGCAAGCGUUAAUCGGAAUUACUGGGCGUAAAGGGCGCGUAGGUGGUUUGAUAAGUUAGAUGUGAAAUCCCUGGGCUUAACCUAGGAACUGCAUCUAAGACUGUUGAGCUGGAGUAUGAUAGAGGGUAGUGGAAUUUCCGGUGUAGCGGUGAAAUGCGUAGAUAUCGGAAGGAACACCAGUGGCGAAGGCGGCUACCUGGAUUAAUACUGACACUGAGGCGCGAGAGCGUGGGGAGCAAGCAGG